rnacentral:rRNA from 1 species
CCUACGGGUGGCAGCAGUGGGGAAUAUUGGACAAUGGGCGAAAGCCUGAUCCAGCCAUGCCGCGUGUGUGAAGAAGGCCUUCGGGUUGUAAAGCACUUUCAGUGGGGAAGAAAGCCUUGGGGCUAAUACCCUCGAGGAAGGACAUCACCCACAGAAGAAGCACCGGCUAACUCCGUGCCAGCAGCCGCGGUAAUACGGAGGGUGCGAGCGUUAAUCGGAAUUACUGGGCGUAAAGCGCGCGUAGGCGGUCUGAUAAGCCGGUUGUGAAAGCCCCGGGCUCAACCUGGGAACGGCAUCCGGAACGGUCAGGCUAGAGUGCAGGAGAGGAAGGUAGAAUUCCCGGUGUAGCGGUGAAAUGCGUAGAGAUCGGGAGGAAUACCAGUGGCGAAGGCGGCCUUCUGGACUGACACUGACGCUGAGGUGCGAAAGCGUGGGUAGCAAACAGGAUUAGAUACCCCAGUAGUC